GUCCUUGGAAAGGUUUGCUUCUGGGCGCAGGCGCAGGACUGUACGUCUGGCAAAGUCAAAGAAACAGCGUCCUCCCUCUCCUGUGGAGCCGCGGUCCUCGGGUCUGCGAGAAGGACAGAUCUGCUCACCCGGUGAAGAACAGAUUCACACCCUUCGUCUGCCUAAAAAUUAAGAAAAAGAAAUUACAUACUGUGAACUUACCGUUUCAUCAUCUACGUAAGCCACUUCACUAAAUCAAGUGGAAUCACGAAAGAAAGAAAUGGGAAACGCCUGGAGGAUUUAAAAUCAAACUGUUUUGUUUUAAUGCCAACGUUGUCAUUCGUUGUCUAGUAAGACCUGGUAGAAAUAUCUCAUUUCUUUCACACUGUCUUGACAAUCUUGUGUGUAUGCUGUCCCCACAUAUCCAUGCACGCUUAUUUACGUGAGUUCAUAAGUAAUGAGCGCAGAAAAACUUCCCCACAACACACACAGAUGCAUCCUCAUCAGUUAUUUGUUUAAAAGAUUAGCUUUUAUUUUAUGUGUAUGUGCACCAUGUGCCUUAGGAACCUGAAAGAUAGGAACGGUGCUGGAUCUCUGGAGCUGGAGUUGUGUGAGUUGCCAUGUGGAUGCUGGGAACUGAAUUCUGGUCUGCUGCAAGAGAAAUAAAUGCUCUUAACCCCUGGGUCAUCUAUCCAGAGCAUCGUCAAUUAGCAGGUACUCGCACAAAUCUUCAGCCCAGUCCAGAGUACCAAAGUGAAGCUAGACUCUGGGACGCUCUUAAGCUGGUCCACAAACUUCUAUUGAAAUAUCUAGCCUCUGCCAGGCACUGUUGCUGCUAUUCCAGUGUCUCUUGCACCACUGAAAGACAGUAAGUAGACACAGAUUUAGACCGGGUAGCAUAUAACAAGGGCAAAAUUAAUUAUAUGGACAGCUACAUAAUACUGUGGACCGAGUUUUAGUUUCUGCUCAGUUUCUGAGAGCCGUCAGGUGUAUGACUUUGAACAAGUUACUCAACGAGGCAUCUGCACUUCUUUUGUAUUAAUAAAAAUAUUGGACUAUUA